rnacentral:rRNA from 1 species
CGCCGAAGCCGCGGCAGCACACAUCUGUGUGCUGGGUAGGGGAGCGUCCUGCAUCCGGUGAAGCAGCAGCGUGAGCUAGUUGUGGAGGGUGUGGGAGUGAGAAUGCAGGCAUGAGUAGCGAUGAGGCAAGUGAGAACCUUGCCCGCCGAAAGACCAAGGGUUCCUGGGCCAGGCCAGUCCGCCCAGGGUGAGUCGGGACCUAAGGCGAGGCCGACAGGCGUAGUCGAUGGACAACGGGUUGAUAUUCCCGUACCCGUGUGUGAGCGUCCCUGAUGAAUCCGUUCUGCUAACCGCCCAAAAGGUGGACCACCAAUCCCUUCGGGGUGCGGGGUUCGCCGGCUGCGCGGGACCCGGACGGGUAGUAGUCAAGCGAUGGGGUGACGCAGGAAGGUAGCCGUACCAGUCAGUGGUAAUACUGGGGCAAACCGGUAGGGAGAGACAUAGGCAAAUCCGUGUCUCACAUAUCCUGAGAGGUGAUGCAUAGCCGAGUGAGGCGAAUUCGGUGAUCCUAUGCUGUCGAGAAAAGCCUCUAGCGAGCGCACACACGGCCCGUACCCCAAACCAACACAGGUGGUCAGGUAGAGAAUACCAAGGCGUACGAGUGAACUAUGGUUAAGGAACUCGGCAAAAUGCCCCCGUAACUUCGGGAGAAGGGGGACCCACAUGGUGUGUAAGCCCUUGCGGCCCAAGCACAAGUGGGUGGCACAAACCAGUGAGAAGCGACUGUUUACUAAAAACACAGGUCCGUGCGAAGUCGCAAGACGAGGUAUACGGACUGACGCCUGCCCGGUGCUGGAAGGUUAAGAGGACCCGUUAACCCUUUCGGGGGUGAAGCGGAGAAUUUAAGCCCCAGUAAACGGCGGUGGUAACUAUAACCAUCCUAAGGUAGCGAAAUUCCUUGUCGGGUAAGUUCCGACCUGCACGAAUGGCGUAACGACUUCUCAGCUGUCUCAACCAUAGACUCGGCGAAAUUGCAUUACGAGUAAAGAUGCUCGUUACGCGCGGCAGGACGAAAAGACCCCGGGACCUUCACUACAACUUGGUAUUGGUGCUCGAUACGGUUUGUGUAGGAUAGGUGGGAGACUGUGAAGCAGCCACGCCAGUGGUUGUGGAGUCGUUGUUGAAAUACCACUCUGGUCGUAUUGGGCCUCUAACCUCGGACCGUGAAACCGGUUCAGGGACAGUGCCUGGUGGGUAGUUUAACUGGGGCGGUUGCCUCCUAAAAUGUAACGGAGGCGCCCAAAGGUUCCCUCAACCUGGACGGCAAUCAGGUGUUGAGUGUAAGUGCACAAGGGAGCUUGACUGCGAGACGGACAUGUCAAGCAGGGACGAAAGUCGGGACUAGUGAUCCGGCACCCCCGAGUGGAAGGGGUGUCGCUCAACGGAUAAAAGGUACCCCGGGGAUAACAGGCUGAUCUUCCCCAAGAGUCCAUAUCGACGGGAUGGUUUGGCACCUCGAUGUCGGCUCGUCGCAUCCUGGGGCUGGAGCAGGUCCCAAGGGUUGGGCUGUUCGCCCAUUAAAGCGGCACGCGAGCUGGGUUUAGAACGUCGUGAGACAGUUCGGUCUCUAUCCGCCGCGCGCGUCAGAAGCUUGAGGAAACCUGUCCCUAGUACGAGAGGACCGGGACGGACGAACCUCUGGUACACCAGUUGUCCCACCAGGGGCACCGCUGGAUAGCCACGUUCGGACAGGAUAACCGCUGAAAGCAUCUAAGCGGGAAACCCCCUCCAAGACCAGGCUUCUCACCCUUUUAGAGGGAUAAGGCCCCCCGCAGACCACGGGAUCGAUAGACCAGACCUACACACCUAGCAAUAGGCGCAGGGAACUGGCACUAACCGGCCGAAAACUUACAACA